UGAAACCCCGUCACUACCGCCCAUUGGCUGCGGCGCGUCUAUAUGCAAAUAUAGUUCCGGGGUCUCUGCCCAUUGGCCGCGGCCCGCCCAUAUGCAAAUAUAAUUCAGAGGUUCCUGUUCAUUGGCCGCGGCGCGCCAGCAUGCAAAUGAGCCCCCUUUGAGCCCUUCCAUUGGCUAGCGAGGUGUGCCGCGCCCCGGCGCUCCUCUGGGUCCUAGAGAUGCUUGUCCUCUCUUUGUUGUGGGUUUGGCGUGGCCAAGAGACGCUACACUUGGCAAGAUCGGCUGCAUUUACCAAGACUCCACAAGGGGGCGCCCACGACCGAUGACUGAAGCUUCCUUCCUGGCCUGGAAAAGUCUGCAGGAUCUGGGACCUCAGGAGGUGGGGGCGUUGCUCAGAAAAUGAAGCAGAGCUUGGCUGGGA
rnacentral:sRNA from 1 species